UACGGAAGAUGCGAGCGUUAUCCGGAUUUAUUGGGUUUAAAGGGCGCGUAGGCGGUUUAUCAAGUCAGCGGUGAAACGCAAGGGCUUAACCCUUGACCUGCCGUCGAAACUGGUGGACUGGAAUGCGGAUGCUGUGGGAGGAAUGUGUGGUGUAGCGGUGAAAUGCAUAGAUAUCACACAGAACACCGAUUGCGAAGGCAUCUCACAAAUCCGUGAUUGACGCUGAGGCACGAAAGUGUGGGGAUCAAAC
rnacentral:rRNA from 1 species